rnacentral:lncRNA from 1 species
ACUGGAGAGAAGCAUGUGAAAAAUGCGUUGACAAAAGAACACGGCUGCCAGUUGACUUAGACGUUUAAUCACAGCGUUGGGUGAUAAGCAGGGGAUCAAAUGGAGGCACGGAAAGCCCAGAAUAACAGGGGCAGCCGCCUAGAGCCCCGCAGAGGGAUUCCUGGUGGAGGCUGCGAUAAAGCUGGAGGCGGUUAUCACGCUGCUUCAGUUGGACAGAGGUGAACGAGGGAGGUGACGCCUCCGCAGCCUGCCAUCCAAACUGGGUUUACUGGGCCGUUUCUCCUCGUCCACGCGGGACACGCGCUUUGUGGGGGUUAGAGUUCAGGUCUCCACGGAUCAUUGGAGCCCACGUCCCGGCUCCGUGCGCUCCAGGUUCGCUACAGAUGAGAAGCAGCGCGCACCGGAGAGGGAUCCGGUUACCAACUUCACCGACUCCGGGCCACGUGACUCGGGUCCUCCUCGUUUUAAAAACGCGCCGUUGCGAGCGCGCGGUUCCCUCCAGAGCGUCAAGGGGGCCGACGCUUCUCUUCCACCACCUGAGCGACUCUCGCACCCUUUUUCUUACUCUGCGCGAGUCGGAGGACGGAUGUCGGAUGAUGUCGGCAGCCUUCUGACGGCGCGCGCCCCCGAGCCCUAAGAGUUCGUGUUUCCGAUAAGUUGGCAUCCUGUGAGCCGGUCUGUAAUCGGCACCUCGCCUUUGAUCCGCUGGCCAAGAAUGGCCCCGGAGCGCACGGACGCGCUCCGCGCCCCCGCUUUGCUGGCGUGCGUGAUGAUCUGCAGCAGCGUGCUGCGUCCCGCCGGUGCCCGUCUCUACAACAACCGCUACGCAGGGGACCAAGUCUUCAGGAUAACUCCAGGCAGCGACGAGGACGUCCGGGUGCUCAAGGACGUUCUGGAGCACGUGAAGGUGGGCACUCACGCUUUCUCAUCUACUUCUUCUACGUCCUUUAUUCUGCACAGCCGAGCUGUGGCAGCACACGUUUGUGCGGAUGAUGUGACUGAGACGGCAACAGUCUCAGAGGCUGAUCUGAAAAAAAAGAGACCUUUGUCCUUUCUAGCACCACCCAGACCUGAAUGUAUUGUAUCAGAUAUCUGAAUAAUGACUUAUUAAUUUUGAAGAACUUUUGAAAAUAGCUCUCUAGGUCAGAUCAAACACCUUAAUAAAACCAUCAAGCCUGCAACUGUAGCUAAGCCC